ACGAGACUGGUUUUCAUAAUGAUUUGACAGAUUGAUACAUAUUCUGAGAUCAUUGUGAAAGCUAAUUUUGU
ncrna:Heliconius melpomene bantam stem-loop (hme-bantam)